rnacentral:misc_RNA from 1 species
AACAUCGCGCACCUGCGGGAACCUGCGGAAGGAUCAUUACAGAGUUGCAAAACUCCCUAAACCAUUGUGAACGUUACCUAAACCGUUGCUUCGGCGGGCGGCCCGGGUCCUUCCCGGCGCCCAUCGGCCCUCGCGGGCGCCCGCCGGAGGUAAACCAAACUAUUGCAUUGCAUGGCCUCUCUGAGUCUUCUGUACUGAAUAAGUCAAAACUUUCAACAACGGAUCUCAGAUCGGAAGAGC